rnacentral:rRNA from 1 species
GUGCAGUCCGAGCGAAUGGAUUAAGAAGCUUGCUCCUUAUGAAGUUAGCGGCGGACGGGUGAGUAACACGUGGGUAACCUGCCCAUAAGACUGGGAUAACUCCGGGAAACCGGGGCUAAUACCGGAUAAUAUUUUGAACUGCAUGGUUCGAAAUUGAAAGGCGGCUUCGGCUGUCACUUAUGGAUGGACCCGCGUCGCAUUAGCUAGUUGGUGAGGUAACGGCUCACCAAGGCAACGAUGCGUAACCGACCUGAGAGGGUGAUCGGCCACACUGGGACUGAGACACGGCCCACACUCCUACGGGAGGCAGCAGUAGGGAAUCUUCCGCAAUGGACGAAAGUCUGACGGAGCAACGCCGCGUGAGUGAUGAAGGCUUUCGGGUCGUAAAACUCUGUUGUUAGGGAAGAACAAGUGCUAAUUGAAUAAGCUGGCACCUUGACGGUACCUAACCAGAAAGCCACGGCUAACUACGUGCCAGCAGCCGCGGUAAUACGUAGGUGGCAAGCGUUAUCCGGAAUUAUUGGGCGUAAAGCGCGCGCAGGUGGUUUCUUAAGUCUGAUGUGAAAGCCCACGGCUCAACCGUGGAGGGUCAUUGGAAACUGGGAGACUUGAGUGCAAAAGAGGAGAGUGGAAUUCCAUGUGUAGCGGUGAAAUGCGUAUAGAUAUGGAGGAACACCAGUGGCGAAAGCGACUUUCUGGUCUGUAACUGACACUGAGGCGCGAAAGCGUGGGGAGCAAACAGGAUUACAUACCCUGGUAGUCCACGCCGUAAACGAUGAGUGCUAAGUGUUAGAGGGUUUCCGCCCUUUAUUGCUGAAGUUAACGCAUUAAGCACUCCGCCUGGGGAGUACGGCCGCAAGGCUGAAACUCAAAGGAAUUGACGGGGGCCCGC